rnacentral:rRNA from 1 species
UACGUAGGGACCAAGCGUUGUUCGGAUUUACUGGGCGUAAAGGGCGCGUAGGCGGCGCGGUGAGUCACUUGUGAAAUCUCUGAGCUUAACUCAGAACGGCCAAGUGAUACUGCAGUGCUAGAGUGUGGAAGGGGCAAUCGGAAUUCUUGGUGUAGCGGUGAAAUGCGUAGAUAUCAAGAGGAACACCUGAGGUGAAGACGGGUUGCUGGGCCAACACUGACGCUGAUGCGCGAAAGCCAGGGGAGCAAACGGG